AUAGCGUAUAUUAAAGUUGCUGCGGUUAAAAAGCUCGUAGUUGGAUUUUGGAACCUGAAUAGUUGGUCGGGCACUCCCUGUACUGACCAUUCGGUUCUUCUGUCUGGAGACUCCUCGUUCCUUCUUAACUGAAGGGCUUGGGGGAUCUAGGACUUUUACUUUGAACAAAUUAGAGUGCCCAACGCAGGCCUAUGCCUUGAAUACAUUAGCAUGGAAUAACGUAUAGGACUUUGGUUCUAUUUUGUUGGUUUUAAGGACCGAAGUAAUGAUUAAUAGGGAUAGUUGGGGGCAUUAAUAUUUAAUUGUCAGAGGUGAAAUUCUUAGAUUUAUGAAAGAUUAACUUCUG
rnacentral:rRNA from 1 species